rnacentral:rRNA from 1 species
CCCUGUUAUACUAUUUAUUAAAUAAUAAUUCAAAGAAUUACUAACUAAAUAAAUUUGACGGUAUUAACUUUUACAAAGGAAUUUGUUUCAUAAUCGACAACCCACGAUUUAUCUUACUUAAUACUUAUUUGUAUACCACCGUAUACGAAAUUUUUAAAAAUAAACUUCAUAACAGAUCUUAAUCUAAAAAAUCAGGUCAAGGUGCAAUUUUAUUAAGUCGAAAUGAAUUACAUUAAUCUAUAUUUACUUAUAAUAACUGAAAUUUUUAUUAAAAACAGAAUUUGUCAGUAAAAUUUUAUCAUUAUGUUUUUUUGAAAACCACCAUUAAUAUGUACAUAUCGCCCG